ensembl:lncRNA
UUUGCAAGAACUCAGAGGCCACAGGGGAAAGGGAGUUCUUUGGAUAUGAGAUAAGGCAUGAAGCAGAUGUGGUUACAGUAAUUUUGGUAUAAUUCAUUGUAAGGUGAUGAUCUCUAGGAACGUCAUCACAGUGGAGAAACCUGAAAGCUCCCAGCAGCCAGCAAUGAAUGAAAGGUGUGGGCGGGGCUGCCAACAGGGUGGGGCCUGGUGAGCCAUGUGCCUGGGCUCCCACAUCACAGUGGGGGUGGGGGUGCCUCAUAGAGGAGACUCUGCUGAUUGGUUCCUGGGCACAAGGUUGGAACUCUGGUGGUUGGUAGGGCAACCUCCUUCAGUUGGUAGAAAGCAGCGGAAGGAGGAACUCCCUCUGUGCUGUCUUCUCCGCGAUCUCAGCUCUCAGGCUUGUUGUAUCUAGACCCAUUUUAAAUAAAGCAGGUUCCCUUAAGACCAGUCAUCUCAGGGGAGGCAGCUGAGGCGGGGCGUGAGCUGUUAGUGGGGUGCAGCCCCAUAGCCAGGGGCUGGCCCUGCCAGCGUGCCUGUGUUUGAAAGAGGUGAAGUGUUGAACUCUGCAGACUGGGAGGCAAGGGAAGGUCCAAGUUGCUGGAGAGGAGCCAACGUGCCCCAUGGGGAACACGCUGGGUUGUUUUUGCCCCAAAGUUCGCUGCAGGCGAGGUCUGCGUAGGCUGUCUGAGGAUCUGUCCUUCAUCUCUGACAUCAGUGAGGCGAUGGCAAGCAUAGGUGCGGGCCAAGACAGAAGGAACAUGUCCAACACCAGUGCCAGACCCAUUUGGGGCCCGAGCUGGCUGUGUGGGGUGGUGUCUGGCAGCUGCGAUGACAUCUAUAAGGCAGUGUCAAGCAUAAGUGCAGACCAAGGCAGAGAGGAGCAGAGGCCGGGCAGAGGGAUCAUGGAGCUCCCCAAUGCCAGACCCAAGCAGAGCCAGAAUGGGGUGCAUGGGGCAGAACCAAUAGAGUGGGAGGUGGUGGAAGCACCAGGCCCUACUGCUGUGGAGCCUGCCCUGUGGGAUUUGGGAGCCGGUGAGGGCCAUGACCUGCAGCACAUCAGCGACCAGGAGAUGCCCAAAGAUACUGCUUCUGACCAUCCAAGGGCAAGCACACUCUUCCUGAGAAGUGCAAGGAAAGAGGAGAAGCUUUCGCCUAUAUUCUGCUAUGUCACGGCCGUGUGAAUACAAAGAUCUGCAUCAAGAUGCUGCUGCUAUGACAAGGAUCAUCAGCAUGGAUUUCAUCAGGAUUCAGCAUACUAAUGCCAUCUUAUCUUAAAGAGAGAAAUUAGCAUUAUAAGGUCCUGGACUUGUCAGCUAUAAGGACUACAAAAUAUCACUUCUCCUGCUGAAAAAGACCAGCAAAAUUAGGAUUUUCUUUCUUCAUGUUUUUAUUAAAUAUUUAUUGUUGUUGUUGUUGUUGUUGUUGCUGUUGUUGCUGAUUAGGAUUUUCAUAGAGUGGAGACUUCUUCAAAUAACCACACUGUGAAGCUGGGUGAUGGUGGCAUGAACAGUGGGUGCCAGGUGCUACCUGCCCUUCUUGUUCCACUGAGUCCAGAUGGCAUUCCUAGGGCACCACCUUCUUGAACAACUCUUGGGGAGGAAGACUGUCACAUGGACACAGCACAUCCCAGUCCAGAGUCCACAGUCACCCGCAGUCCCAAGCAGGUGACAGUCUGAGCUGAGCUAGAAUUCAAAAAACUUUAGAAUUGGCUCCAGAUUUGUGAGAGGACCUGGGUUUGGAUCUCUGUCCAUGGAGGCACUGAAUGCACGAUGACCAGAAACAACAACUAUGGGAAGAGAGAAUGGCAUGGGGACAAGGCUGUCAUUACUCCAGGUACCAUGGGAGCUCAGGCCUGUUCAUCUAGUCUUUGGAGGGAAUCUGUGCAUGUGAAAUGACGCUCCCACAUCAUGGUUAUAAAUGGAGAGAUGAAAUCAGCUCAUCUUCCCCCAGGCCCACAAUGGUCAUGCCAAAACACAGAGGCUUGCUGUGUGGCCAGGCUGGAGCCCAGUGGUGAGAUCUCAGCUCUCUGCAACCUUUACCUCCCAGGUUCAAGUGACUCUCCUGCCUCAUCCUCCCAAGUAGCUGGGACUGCAGGCAUGAACCACCAACUCAGCUAAUUUAUAUAUUCUUAGUAGAGACCGGGUUUCAUUACGGUGGCCAGGACAGUCUUGAUCUCUUGACCUCAUUCUGCCUGCCUCCGCCUCCCAAAGUGCUGGGAUUACAGGUGAGAGCCACCGUGCCCAGCCUCUUGCAUUUACCAUUCACAAUAAAGCAGUUUGGAAUAUCCCACUGUUGAUUUGUGAUUUCCUCCUCCAAAUAUAAUCUGUGGCUCUGUAUACAUAAUUGAAUAUUUUUGUGUAUUGAUAUUUUGUGUCUGAAGAUGAAAUAUUAGAUGAAACAUGUUAAAACAUUUCAUGCAAAGCCUUCAGUGGUUGUAGAGUCUACUCUUUGGUGAAUACAUGAAUUAAUCUAUUUUAAAUAUUAAAAUUUUUAUUAGAUGUGAUAAUGAUAUUUUCUCUUUUAUCUUCAUUUGUUAGAUAGAGUUACUUACAUUCUUCCAUAAUUAAUGAUACUGUAUCUUAUAUUUGAUGUACAAAACUCCUAGAAUAUUUGGAAUUGAUCAUUGAAAUUAAACAGCAAAAUGAGAAUUGCUGAAACCUAGUGAUAAUGUACUCAUAAUGGGUUUAUUAUCUAUUAUCUCUAUCAUUGUUAAUUUUUAAAGUUUCCAUGGAAAACUAUACUAUGAACUUAAAAUUUUCUAUAAAACCCUUCGUGCCCUGCACUUUAGCUCCAAUGCAUAAUGAAUAAAGGAAAAUGGAUUCUCCUGUGGGAAUUCUGCUGGACUCUUCCUUUCUUUUCCCUUUAACCUGGGGGGAGCAUCUUGAGAUCACUAUAGGGUGAGGCGACAAUGAGUGGGGUCCCUAGAGCUGCCACUGGGAGGAGUGUUUAUGUGGAGAUGGGUUUUGUGGCCACGUUUCUUCCUUGGGUCUUUCUGGUUGUGAUGGUGGCUUUGGGGAUGGUUUCUGAGGAUCCUCUCAGAGGAGUCCUCUGCCUGUGGUGUCUCCCCUGGGGGAAGACCUAAGGAUAUCUGGAGAGGGAUUCAUAGGGUUGCCCCUGUGUGACAGCGGUGCC